rnacentral:rRNA from 1 species
GCGGCACGCCUAAACAUGCAAGUCGAACGCAGUAGCAAUACUGAGUGGCAAACGGGUGAGUAUAAUGUGGGAAUCUGCCUUUUGGUUUGGAAUAACACGGGGAAACUUGUGCUAAUACCGAAUAAGCCUUUACAGGGAAAGUUUUAACGCCGAAAGAUGAGCCCGCACUUGAUUAGCUAGUUGGUAAGGUAAAAGCUUACCAAGGCAACGAUCAAUAGCUGUUCUUAGAGGAAGACCAGCCACAUUGGGACUGAGACACGGCCCAGACUCCUACGGGAGGCAGCAGUGGGGAAUCUUGCACAAUGGGGGAAACCCUGAUGCAGCGAUGCCGCGUGAGUGAAGAAGGCCUUUGGGUUGUAAAACUCUUUCGUCGGGGAAGAAAAUGACUGUACCCGAAUAAGAAGGUCCGGCUAACU